GACGAACGCUGGCGGCGUGCCUAACACAUGCAAGUUGAGCGACGAACCAGGGCUUGCCCUGGGGCAAAGCAGCGAACGGGUGAGUAACACGUGGGUAACCUACCCCGAUAACCGGGACAACCCGAGGAAACUCGGGCUAAUACUGAUGUGCUCACUGGACUUCGGUUCAGUGCGUAAAGUAAGCUUCGGCCUCCGUAUCGGGAGGGGCCCGCGGCCCAUUAGUUUGUUGGUGAGGUAACGGCUCACCAAGACCGCGAUGGGUAGCUGGUCUGAGAGGACGAUCAGCCACACUGGGACUGAGACACGGCCCAGACUCCUACGGGAGGCAGCAGUGGGGAAUCUUGCGCAAUGCGCGAAAGCGUGACGCAGCAACGCCGCGUGGGGGAAGAAGGCCUUCGGGUUGUAAACCCCUUUCAGGAGGGACGAAGGUUCGGCGGUGAAUAGCCGUCCGGACUGACGGUACCUCCACAAGAAGCCCCGGCUAACUACGUG
rnacentral:rRNA from 1 species